AUGUGUUAUUCUUUUCCUAAACUAUAUGACAUGCUUAUCAUAUAUAUGCAUUAACAUACUUUUCAAUCAAUUUAAAUAUCAUAUGCUAUCAUAUAAAAGCAUAAAAUAAAUUGACUUUGACCAGCCAAAGUUUUCAUGAUUUCAUCCUAGAAAAAUAAAUAAAAAUUAAUUUUACAUUUAUUACCCCAAAGUAUUCUUUGGGUCUUCUAGGUGAAAGCCAAACAUCUUGGUUUAGAGAUUUCCAAAACCCAAAAAUAUGAAAAAAGUUCACCAAAGGGGUCUACGUUGAACCUUCGUUACCACCACGUGUCACUGUUGUCACCACUGUCAACGUCACUGUUGACGCCAUCAUCGCCACCGUCGAAUGACCUAUUGCCGACCGCCACCUGCCGCUGCCAACUUUCGUCGAUCGGUCCACUACCUGUCUUUUACCAGUUGGUUGGGUCGAGUUUGCCUUGUCUCAAUCAGCUUUGGAUACGUCUCAGUUCUCUGGGUUUCACUGAAAAAUUUAGGUUACAAAAAAACCUAAGUCUAUUCCCACUCACAUGAAUUAUUCUAAAUAAAUAAAAUAAAACCUAAAUGGAAAUGAUAGUUCAUGAUCUAAUUACAUAUCCCAAAAUUUAUUAAAACCUAAAAUUACACCUAAUCUAAUUUUUAGGAAUCACAACUUUGGCAAAAUUACUUUAUCAUAUAUAAUAAAAUAUAAAUACAUUCAUUUACAUAUAUAACCCAAAACAUGUACAUAAUUAGAAGAAUGCCACAUCUUAUCAAAAAUAACCAAACAUAAAGAAUAGAGAGAAAAUUCGAUAUCAGAUUAUACUAUAAACAUAGCAAAACCUGGCUCUGAUACCAAUUAUUGAAAAAAUUAAUUGAGAAUAUCAUUUUUAUAGUUAUAGCAGAAGAUUUAAAAAAUUUCAAAAUCAAGCCCUUCUAUAAUAUUUAUAAUAAUAGACUUUAAUCGAAUAAUGCUUGUGUUUUAUGUGAGACGGAAACAAGUUAAUCUUGGCUUUCAACUGAACGACCUCCGUUAUCUUCGUAUCCUGAAUUGCUUUGAGUGUGGACUCUAGCAACAUGAACCAAAAUCAUAGAAAAUACAUGAUAUAAUUACUUUUAGUAGGAAAGUAAUUCCUCUUAAUAGAAAUCGACAAAUAUCAUAAUUCCUAGAAAAUAUAAUUUAUUUUUAGAUAAUAAAUUCCCACUAUUUUCUAACAAAAUAACGUUGUAUCAAACCUUCUAAUUUCAAGUGAAUCUGUGAAAUAUAUUUAUAAGAAGAGGUAUGAGAAUUUUGGUUGAAUAAGUUUUUAUAAAAUAAUAUUAUUUAAAUACAAAACACUCUCAUAGUCUAACUAAGAGAGAGGGUGGUGGCACACCCUCUUAAUUUCCCUUAUGGUUGUUGUCCUUCAUAUGUUAUGUGAAGCAGAUUGGGCUUCUCAUGUAUUGAGUUCAAUUAUAUGUCUUUUUUAAACUUUUGACUCAACACAUUAUAAUUUAAUCCAACCCAAUCAUUGUUUUCUAUUUCCCAAAAUAAAUAUUAUUUAUUCAAUUAAUUUAGUUAAUUUAAUUAACUAAAUUAAUUUCUCAAUUAAAUAAUUUUUCAACCCAAUUCUAAUUUCAUUAAAGUCAUAACAACUUUACCUUAAAAUAAUCUAUGAGGAAGUAUAUUUAAUUUCCUUACUCAACAAGUUCAUAAUGACUAAUUCAUUUUAUUUUAUUUUCGAACUCUAAUUAUUUAAUUAAUAAUAAUUUGAAAACCUUAAAUUAGUUCUCAAGUCAUUUUUGUACUUAGCGAGAAAACAUAUUUAUUUGUGAGUGCGACCCAUUUCUCUUACUUUAUCAUUUCCAUUCUUUUUUGUUCAUUUCUAUAAAUUUAGUUCUACAUGCAAUUUAUUUCUAGUUUCAACGAGCUAACGAAUGGACCGAUUGAACAUAUAUAAUUAGGGAUAAAAUAAUUUAUAAUUAACUUCCAACUUUUCACCUAUUAAUUAUAAACUUAUUAGUCACAAACUCAUUCCACUAUAGUAUCAUGAUUGAGCUCUCCCCAAUUACAUACCAUUACGAAAGCUACUUAAUAAGUGUUAGUCCAAUGACCUUGUCAUAAGUGUGUUACCCUCAUAGGAUAUCCUUAACCUCUUUGAUAAACCCAUUCUCCUAAUAUUAUCCAAAUUUAUUUUAUGGUAACUAUUACAUCUUUCUGCAUGAAAAAAAUAUUAUAAAAUAGUAAUUAAGUCAUUUAUCACAAAGACAAAUGACUUGUGGCCACGUUUACUUUUCAUCUAUCAUGUAGUGCCGAUGAUAGGAUAUCAUUUUCCUUUUAGUUGGGCUAUGAAUUCCACUAUUGUGGAAUGAUGCUGCAUAUUGUAGAAGUCGUAUACCCAACGCACUAACUUUCUAUUCCUUUUCUAUUUGAACUUGAACUUUUACUUAUAUCAAAGUAUAUGAGUCAUGCAUACAUAGCCCAUCAUCCACUCAGAAUUAGGGUAUACCACACUAUGUACAUCACAAGUGAAUAAAUCCAUAAACGAAUCUAGGAUUUGUUCUACUUAUGUUCUGCUCAAUGUACUAUUAGUCUAGUCAGUCACAUCUAUGUCUCUAUCUUUUGAGAGUCAUCCAUUCUGAUGCUGAAGAUAAAACAUCUCCUCAAUUUGGACUUGAUAAAUGAUAUAUUAGUCAUUCAAUCGGUUUGCUCAUUUCUAAUUAGACAAAUGACAUGUUUAGGUUAUUUACUAAUACAAGCUGUCUUUUCGUAUUAUGAUCCAACCACAUAAUACUGCUUAGUACUAGUUAAACAUUAGAUAACCAGUGGGCCAAUAUUUGCUUCCAUUUUAUUUUGUGUGCAAAAACCGUUAAGGACAAUAUACAAGAAGUAAUUUCAUUGAUAACAUUUGAUUCUUCAACACCAUUAUCAGCAAUUUAAGGAGUCUUAGAAGGAAGCUUAAAUUUACCAAAUACUCUCUCCUUAUCCCUCUAAGCCUUCCACUCAAAACCACAAGACCAUAAUAUGUCAAAAGAUAUGGGGAUUCUAUAGGUGAAAAUAAGCUAAACAUCCCUCAAAUUUAAAGGACCAUAAGUUGCUUGAAUGCUAACUACAGUUACAUUCUAAAUAAACCCAACAUUGUAAAUUAACCCCUUUGUAAAUCACCAUGCCCCUCAUCAAAGGAAGGAGAAAUGGAUGUGAGGUUGGCAACUCUAAAGAAGAAUCCUCUCGAGGUCUCUUACUAAAACCAACCUUAAGUUUUUCUAUAAGUAGGCUUACCAAAAUGUGAGCCACUCUUUAAAAAACAAAAAAGAAAAAGAAAACAACAUCAAUAUUAAAACCAAGUUCUGAAACAUUGCAAUAAUACAAAUCCAUCAGGAUCUAUUGACCACAAGGAUUUUGCAAACCCCAUUUGUUAUCAAGAAGAUACCAACUCGAAUAUGAAACAAAAUGGUUCACUUAUACAUUACUAAAACCCCUCACAUUCACCAUUUUAGGUUCAUUUGUAGGAAUUCCAAUAUGUUUGUCCAAGUUACUAUCCAAUAUGUCAUUUGACGAAUCCCCUCCAUUCAUAAAACCAAUCAAAGGCUAUUUUUUAUGUUUCAUCCUCACAUAGUGUUUAACAUAUAAAAAAAAUGUAAUCUUUAGGUUCAAGAAGCUCUUAUUAUUACUUUUCGUAGCUUGUCUUGAUCUUUUAUCGACCAUCCAACCCUUGUCUAAGUGAGCCAUACAAGCCAACCUUAUUAUUGUUGAAACUUUUUCCCUUAAAACAUUAUAACUAAAAGUUGUUCAGAGUAAACAAUUCAUUGAUAUUCAAGGGGUUGCUAGCCUUCUUAUGAUGAUAAUAUCCUCAAGCAGUGCCACCCUUUAUAUUGGGCACAAACACAUUGCUUUAAUGAAGACAUGGUCCAUUUUAUGAGAAAUAGGAAUCCAUUUAUUUACUUUAUGUUGGGCACAAACACAUAGCUUUAAUGAAGACAACGAAUCUAUCAAUUUACUUUCUAUGUAGAUGCAUUUACAUUUUUCCAAAUGCAGAUAAUUUUUCUAAAAAUAUACCGACAUACUUAUAUAAUAAUGCAUCAUAAAACAAAACAUCAUUAUGCUCUUACUACAGUCUACGUAUUGAGUGAGUGCAAAUCCUUGAAAGUACUAAGAUAGGCAACUCAUGCCUCAUCUUACAAUCCAAGAAGAAAAGCUAGAAAAAUACACUUAGAGGCUCCUGCUAAUUGACUAGGGGCAAUGCCAUAAUUGCCUAACACAAUGAUGAACAAAUAAUGCAAAGGGUGGAUAGAAACUUACAUCAAGGAUAUGAGGAGAUAGGAAGCCCUUCUCAUUCUUCAAAACAUCACUCAUUCAAUGGAUCCUAUCAAUACAACAAAAUGAUACUCGUAAUGAGGCAAUUUGAUUCCCUGAAGUUCCAAUAUUGCCAUCAUCUCCUCCUCCUCCUUAAUGGUAUAUUCCCACAAAUUGCCCUUCAUAGGGACAUCAAAUUUUUUAUAAACAAAAGUUUUAGAACAUGAGUCAACGCCUACAAAGGGGUUAAUUCUCUAUCUUUUUUUCCCUCACUUCACGAGCCAUGACUACCCCAAAAACCAAAAACAUAACACUACAAAACCACAAAACAAAGGUAACAAUGACAGAAAAGUCACUAUUUUAGAAAAUGUGGCAACAAAUUCCUAAACAAAAACAAUAAAAGAAGAAGAAAAAAAAAACAAACUUACCCAAAUGGAACUCCUUCAAUAAAUCCUAAGUCUUACAAGCAAAGAAGAUUUAAAUGAGAAAAGCAAUUAAGUUUCCCUAAGUUCUACGAAAAGAUGAAAAACUUCAAAAAUUGAAGACAUCUAUUUAUAAAAUAAAAUGACCUUAGAAAAUUUAAUAGGCAAAAUAACUCAUUACCAAUCAUAGUGCAACACAUGGAAAAUGUUGUGAUCAACACAUCGUUUUAGUAUCUAAACAAAGUGUGACACACGGCUUGUUAAAUAAAUGCAAAGUUAUAUAAAAAAUGAAAUGACAGGGUCAUAACAUCCGACGCAACUCGCAUGCCUCUACAUGAAUCCUUAAGUGCCCAUUCAAGAAAAACUAAAACUUUUCCUAAGUACCAAAAGUCAAGGUCAGUGUAAGGCAUAACUUUGUUUUUUCUAAAUCAUCACAAAAAAAAAAUCUCAUCACUUUAUAACCAACCCUUUAAUUAGGGAGGGAAAUUGUUAUACCCAAACCACAUUGCCUCAAAAAGAAUCAUCCAAGAAGGCUUUACCUUGUGCAAAAGUGAAUAUCCUUGAAUGAAUACUCAAACAAGAAAAGCUUACCUAGGUAUAGGGUCACCCAACUCAAAAGCACAGUCACCCAGGCAAGAGCUUGUCUAACUGGAAAGCCACAUUACUCUCUAUGACUCUACCUUUACCUAGUAAGGUGCUCGUUCGACGAGGCAUAUGCUAGAUUGCUAACCACUUUAUAUAGAUCCCCUUCUAUCUACACAAAAGAGAACGACUUUUCUUCCCCAAGAAUAUUUUUCUUAAUCUCCAUUCCUAAAUAACUUGUGGUUCUCAACACUUGCGUAAAACCACUUAUAACCUUCUUCCAUAUAAAAAAUGAAGUUGAUUAUUCUUGUAAGAAAUGUGGUGAUUUGUUGAUAUAUUAGCUUAAAUAAUUUCUUUUCUUAAUAAUCUAAUUAUUCAUACCCCUCCUCAACCCAUAAAUAAGAAGAUAAUGCGUUUUAGUGCACUCGAAUCCACAUCCUCCCAUGUUGAUAAAAAUAUUCAUGCUAGUCAAACUAAAAUUGAAUGGACAAUAAUUUCUUAUAUAAUAAUCAUAAUUAUUAUAAAAUAAAGAGAAAUAGAGAGACUAAAGAACAAAGAAAAUAUGAAAAGCAAUAACUAUUAGAAUUUAAAAUCCAUCAAAAUUUUAUCUUGAUCAUAAUAGAUAUCCAGAUAUUCAUAACAAUAAUAUGUUUUUUAUAUUCAAUAAUAUUUUAAAUCUCAAAUGCCACCUCUACCGUACAGAGGUCACACGUCGUUGGCAGCUGAAAUGACGGUCACCUGAAAGACACCUAAGAUCAUACAUCCGUAUUAUCCUAAUAUUUCUCUAACUGAUUACCUCUUAUUACCAGUAUCUUCUUCCACAGACAAAAUAAAUAAUUCAAUUCAAUAAUGAUACGAAAGUAGAAAAUCACCCAUUCGCUCUUCCAAAAUUUCCACGCCUCUCCUUUUUCGCCGCCGUUGUUUGCUUAAAAGCUAAAGAAAAAAUCCACAGCACAAACUCAAUCCAAACUUUUUACUUCUUUUUUUGUUUAAUUAUGAUUUUUCGAUUUUUAGUGCUCUGAUUCUUCUUUCAUGUAAGAAAUAUAUAUACAUUCAGAAAAAAAAAAGAAAAAAAGAAAAAAAGAAAAGCAGAGUGAGAGAUGGAGAGUUACAGCGUCGAUGUGGCGGCGAUAGCAUACAAGCUGAAGGACACAACCAAUUGGUGGCGUGACAUUAACGGUUCACGGCACUGGCAAGAUCGCAUUUUUCACAUUCUCGCCGCUCUUUACGGUCUCGUCGCCGCCGUUGCUCUCGUAUGCCUCUCCUCCCUUCUAUCUUUUUUCUUCUCUAAUUAGAGCUUAGCUUGGUUUGAUUGUGUUUUAAUUAAUUAAUUAAUUUUAAAAACUAACCUCCUUAUUUGCUUUCUCUACCUUUUUAAUGCGAUAAGAAAAUUUUAUUUAAGAAAUCAAGUGGAAUUAAGAUUCUGUUUUAGUAUAUUUAUGGUCUUAACGUUGUUGUCGUUAAUUGAUAUUUUUAGG
rnacentral:lncRNA from 1 species